rnacentral:rRNA from 1 species
UACGUAGGGUCCGAGCGUUGUCCGGAAUUACUGGGCGUAAAGAGCUCGUAGGUGGUUUGUCGCGUUGUUCGUGAAAACUCACAGCUCAACUGUGGGCGUGCGGGCGAUACGGGCAGACUUGAGUACUGCAGGGGAGACUGGAAUUCCUGGUGUAGCGGUGAAAUGUGUAGAGAUCGGGAGGAACACCGGUGGCGAAGGCGGGUCUCUGGGCAUCUCCUGACGCUGAGGCGCGAAAGCGUGGGGAGCAAACGGG